GGAGCUUUUCCGCUUCGAGGUUCGGAUCGGAGAGCGGGGCUCGGCGGCCUCUGGGCGCCUUUUCCAGCCCAGGACGGCGGGAACGCGCGCCGGCGGUCAGGUGGCGGAGCCGCCUCAGGAAAGGCAUGAAAGCACCGAGCAGUAAACUGUCCUGCGUCUAAGGAAAUAAAAUUAAUCACUUGUAUGGAUACUCCACUCUCUCUGUUCUAGGUUCACAGAAGAUGAAGUUGAUGGCUGGCCUCCCCUCUUCCACUACAAGGCAGGGCUCCAGGCUGCCAGUUUUCCUGAAGGAAACUCUCUUCAACAGGGCGUCCUACUGUAAUAACAAGCUUGCAACCUGCAGAGCAUACGGGAAUGGCACAGGUUUCAGACUGAUCCUCAGAGCCCUGUGUGCAUCUAGCUUGAGUAAACAGCCUUCUCGGGGCAGCGGGGGAGCGGUCCAAGCAGUCCCUGGAAACUGACCAAAUGCUUGGAGCAGGGCUCUAAACAAACACCUUAAGAAAAAGGGAAAAAACGUCUGAGAACGUAUUUAAAAACAGACAAUACCUGUUACAUUUUCAAUGCUUUAAUGUAAUGCUAUUAGUAAAGUACCAGUUACUCUGAUUAAAGCUGCCUCAGUGAAUGCCAUCACACCACACACUGAGUAAAUUCCUUGUGCCUUGAUUCCAAAUAAAACUGCGAUCCUUAA